GUCGCCUACGGGACGCAGCAGUGAGGAAUAUUGGUCAAUGGACGCAAGUCUGAACCAGCCAUGCCGCGUGCAGGAAGACGGCUCUAUGAGUUGUAAACUGCUUUUGUACGAGGGUAAACGCAGAUACGUGUAUCUGUCUGAAAGUAUCGUACGAAUGAGGAUCGGCUAACUCCGUGCCAGCAGCCGCGGUAAUACGGAGGAUUCAAGCGUUAUCCGGAUUUAUUGGGUUUA
rnacentral:rRNA from 1 species